UUAAUGUUCUUGUUUCUUGCUGUCACGUAAAACCGCCGUGCAACGUGGCGCAAUCGAUGAGAAUUACUCCGCUACUAUUGCGCGAGGGUCAAGCGACCGGUGACGUAUUGCACCUGUCGAUCGAGACUUGCAUCAGAUGGACGGAAAAUGGAAUAUUCUGAUUUAUUCGCUGAUCCCACGAUUUACAUAUUGUCGCCGUUAGAUGUCGCACCGAGUGCCACCUAGCGUCCCGAUUAGUCGAUCGAUACGAGGGCGAGACACACUUUUGGUGCCGUACAUGCGUGGAUGGAGAAGAAGCUGUUCACGAGUUAUCCAUUGUAAAUCGUGGAAUCCGGAAGAUAUAUGUUAAUCGCAGUUGGUAACCGACGCUUAUUCGGUAUAAAGAACUUACCUACAGAUCCAUAUUGAUGAUAUCAUUGAGCGAAAGGUGGCGACACAAGUCUAACUUGACGAGAUUGAUGGGAUAUCAUUGGACUCCGUGGUCGAAUCGCUUCCAAUUUGAAGGGGAUCGAGUGUCAUAAAGAUGACGAGAAACGGAAGUGGAUGGCAGAAGUCAACUUGUUCGAGCAAGGUACAAUAAUGUCCUGCUAAUGAUGACAGUAGCCCAUGUUGACUUAACCCGUCGCCGUGAUGGACGUUGCAGUAUAUUAGGAGCAGCAUUUAUGACAGAUACGUCACGCGAAUAUGUCAGCCAUACGUAGCGGAAGAUUAGGCCCGUUCUUUGAGAUCAAAUCUGGCAAGAAGACGUACAAGUGUCAGUAAAUUCAAAUAUUAUAGCUAGAGAGCUUUCAGAAUACAAGAUGGCCGCCAGAAUGAGGAAUAAAAAAUCCAAGGCAUUUCGGAAUAUGAAGAUUAAAGCCAAUGGAGCUAGAAGUUAACGAAUCUAAUUGCUGAAGAUGGGCAUAGAUUUGAUAAUUAGAAAAUAUUUGGCAUCCCACGAAGUACGAUCUAUCGGAGAUAAUUUCUUGGAGACCUCGUGCGAUACAUUUAUAAAGCAACUACAGAGGAUGUAAAUCUGCUGGCAAACUCAGAAUACGAGGUUUGCAAUAUAAGGUAUCUCCUUAUAUGUUGGAAGAUAUCGAUGCACAGUAAAACAGAAAAUAGAAUGCAAAGGAGAAUUAACUUUUUCCGGAGCAGGUUCUCUUCUCAGGGCUGGUUGUUUCAACUUCUUGGUAAACUUAUUUACCAGGUAAGCAUGUGUCUAUUUUUAUUUUUUUCUUAUAUAAAUAAAGGCAAACAUAUAUUUAUCUGAUAGGUAAGUUUACCAAGAAGUUGGAAGAACAAUCAAUCCUCAGAGACAGGUAUUCGCAAUUAGUUGCAGUGCUGCGUUGGUAAAGUAGUGAUGCAUACUCAAUCAUUUAUUGCUUAAAAAAAAUUUAUUUAUAAAUAAAUUUACUUAUUUAUAAAUAAAACUGAUUGAU
rnacentral:sRNA from 1 species